UACGGAGGGUGCAAGCAUUAAUCGGAAUUAUUGGGCGUAAAGGGCGCGUAGGCGGUGAGAUAAGUCUUCUGUGAAAUCCCGGGGCUCAACCUCGGAACAGCAGGGGAAACUAUCUUACUAGAGGGUAGGCGGAGAAAACGGAAUUCCACAUGUAGCGGUGAAAUGCGUAGAGAUGUGGAAGAACACCGGUGGCGAAAGCGGUUUUCUAGCUUACUCCUGACGCUGAGGCGCGAAAGCAAGGGGAGCAAACAGG
rnacentral:rRNA from 1 species